rnacentral:rRNA from 1 species
AUUGAACGCUGGCGGCAGGCCUAACACAUGCAAGUCGAGCGGAUGAAGGGUGCUUGCUCCUGGAUUCAGCUGCCGACUGGUGAGUAAUUCCUAGGAAUCUGCCUGUUAGUGUGUGAUAACGUCCGGACACGGGCGCUAAUACCGCAUACGUCCUUAGGGAGUAAGUGGGGGAUCUUCGGAUCUUCCGCUAUCAGAUGAUCCUAGGUCGGAUUAGCUAGUUGGUGGGGUAAAGGCCUACCAAGGCGACGAUCCGUAACUGGUCUGAGAGGAUGAUCAGUCACACUGGAACUGAGACACGGUCCAGACUCCUACGGGAGGCAGCAGUGGGGAAUAUUGGACAAUGGGCGAAAGCCUGAUCCAGCCAUGCCGCGUGUGUGAAGAAGGUCUUCGGAUUGUAAAGCACUUUAAGUUGGGAGGAAGAGCAGUAAGUUAAUACCUUGCUGUUUUGACGGUACCAAAAGAAUAAGCACCGGCUAACUUCGUG